CUUCACCACCGUUCCACCUCAACUCCUCCUCUAAUCCAUGCCCCAGAGCUCCUCGCUAUGCGCCGCCCUGGAGGGCACGCGCUCGCCAGCCGAUCGUCGUUGCACUCCCAGGCGACCUCGCCGUCCCCUCUGCACCGCCCUCCACCUGAACUAAUGAUUUAGCUGGUUAUAGCUUGUGGAUGUUCUCUGUUGUUUUUUGCACACAAGGUGUUUGUGUGUUUGUCCGAGCCAAUGUUCAUGAGCUUUAUCUUUGCUAUAAAUGACAUGGCUGAGAAAGUCCCUUCAAUGAAAGGAGGAGUAUAGUCUUGGCCAUGGCUGGGAAGGAAGGAGAACAUGUAAAUUGAGGAUUUUUCAGAGAGGUCAGGAUUGCUUGAUUUAUCAGUGGACUGGUGUGCUGGUUAAUUAGGAUCUUUCAGAGAGAUCGGGGUUGCUUGAUUAAUCAGAGAGAAACUGGAUCAGUACUUGGGAGUUGGGACUGGUGUCCUACGGUUGCUUGAUUAAUCAGAGAGAAACUUAUCAUAAUUUAUGAUUUCCUUUUCUUGAUUUGGAGCAAGUGUCUUUGCUGGAGUCAGCGUCCUUGUGGUUGAUCUCAUAUACAUGAGGAUUAUCCGAGUCAGCUCCUUGUGGUUGAUCUCAUAUACAUGAGGAUUAUCCAAUUAUUAAAGCACAUACAUUGGAGUUGAAAUAUAGGUGGGUUGUGUACACGGGGUACAUGUACGUGAUGUAAACAAAACCUAUAUAACUCAGGGAAUUGGUACUACAAGAGAGCUUCAAGCUGACGGCCAGUAGGAAUGGAAGACAUGACUUGAUGGAGAAAUCGGGUGCAUAUGAACAACAUAUUGUCUUCCAAUUUUUUUCAUCAUUCAGUAGGACAAUUGCCUAAUUCUGUAUGAAAAGGUUAUUAGUAUGGAUAUAUAUUUAUUGAAUUUAAUUAGCAUAUAUGAGGUUCUUUGUUCGGCCCCCCUUUUGCUCAUGACUACAUAAUUAUUCGGACUUGCAUUCUAGAUAGAUGCUUUUCUAUGAACCUCAUAAAAAGUGUAAUAUGCCUUAGAUCCUAAUUGACUAUUUAUACAUCGGAUAAUUUCAGCUUGCUGUGUCCCAACAUACCUAUUUGUUUUACAAAAAACAGGUGAAGUCCUAACAAUCUAUACUCCUGCAUUGUAUCUUCAAAUGUAGAUUGCUUCUGUAGGAUUCGAGCAGAUGGUAGUUUACAGACUAAUGAUUUGGUUCCAGUAACAUCACAUGUCAAGGAUACCUCUCUCCACUUAACAAUCAAUUUUCUUAUGAUGAUGUUCAGAGAAGUGCGUUUAAUUUCUGUCGUAGUGGGAUGUUGUGAUUAGUUCAAUUUUGCUUGAUCUAUUUCGAGUUAAUUCCUUUUUGUGAUGUGGUGUUAGGGAACAUACAUUCUGCUCUCUUGUUCUUCAGCUCGGGGUGUCGGAAGCUACCUAUUACUACUAGGGAGUCUUAUUUCGGACGGAAAGAAAAUACAAUAUUGGGUUUUAUCCAUUUGUAUGCCUGCGUUAGCCUUAUGAAGCACAAAGGAUGUCCCAGUGAUCAAUCACGGAUGAUACUUGGUGUAUUCUUACUAGGCUAAUGGGCAAAUAGUCGAAUAACUGAAUCACCUGCAAUCUUUCUUUUAUUGUAACGGCGGUGUUAUAUCUGCAACAACAAUUUGUAAAU